CUCUAGGUUUCUGAUCUGGAGCUCCACUGACUAACUGGGAGUGCCCAAGCAACCAGAAGUCCCUCGGAUACCGCAGAGAACUCCUCUGAAGUGCAAAACCGUGCUUUAACUUUAACUAGCAGCCAAAAAAAAAAAAAAAAAAAAAAACCUUUUAGAAGGUCGUUGCACGUUUAGAUGCUGAGCUCCUGCAAGCAGAGUUUUUAGGCUCCCUUUGGCAUCUUUGCUUUGGUUGCAGCUUAUUUUUCUUUAAGAUGUAACUCCCUCGCCCUCAUCCCGAAAUCAGCAGCAAAUGUUGCAAUCUGCCUGGAUUUCCCUUCAAAGGGAGUACAGGAAAUAUCUUCAAUUUAAAACACUCCCUCAAAGUUACGCUCAUAAAUCACAAGUUUAAGGGCAAGCCAGUAGCAAAAUGAAAAUAGUCCGGUGAAAUGCAGGGCAGCCCUGCUUAUCCUGGGGAUGGGGGAGAGGGACGGGACUGGAUGGGACAGGAGGGGGAUUCACUUUGGGUGCCCUCAGAGAAGGAAUGAAGGGAGACACAGAGACACGCACAGUAUGGUGGAGGGAUCACCACGAAGGGAGGGGGAAGGAUGGAGAUGCGCUGCAGUGUACGAGGCCACGGGGAAGUGAUUCGGUAUCAGAAUUAACGGUUUGGAGACGUAAACAUCUUGAAAGCCACGCCGAGAUUUAUCGCCACAACUUUGGCACGAAGGAUUCGGGAAGGGGGAAAGAAAAGGAGAAAGACAAAACAAUCUCAUUUAACAAAAUUUUCGUUUAGGGGAACAUUCCAACGCUUUAAUAAUCCCGUUUCCGUUCUGUAUGUUGAUGUUAUUAAUCUCGAAUAAAAAUGUUCCCCUCACA